rfam:Picea glauca, whole genome shotgun sequence.
AUGUACAUUCCUACAGCAUAGCAUUAAUGCAUUGGAUCCCAUUAGAACUCUACAGUUAAGCGUGCUUAGGCUAGAGUAGUAUUGGGAUGGGUGACCACCCAGGAAGUCCUAGUGUUUUACAUG